rnacentral:lncRNA from 1 species
AGUAAAUAACACCUUCUCAACGAGGAUGACUAUGUCAACGGUUAAAAAUUAGCUGUAUGUUAGCUACAUAACAAAGUCGUAGAUCAAGAAUAUAAAUUUAUCACAGCUACGUCUGAUAACAGAGAGAGAGAGAGAAGAACCAUGGUUUUACUUUCUUUCUGUUUACAUCAUUACGGUGUAAAAGUAAAUAACGCCAACACAAAUUUUGUUGUGAGAAUGUGUGUUCUGUAGUGAUCAGUUUUUUGCGAGGUGUAAAGGUAAUAAAUGUUCUCAAAAAGCUUCCUUGUUUUUGAUUGUGUUCUCAAGACCAGAAAGAGAUGAAUAGACUAAAUAAACUCACUAUGUAGUGUAUUAUAUGUAUGUCAUUUCCCUUUUACUUAUGUACAUAUUUUUUAUAGGUUUGUGCUUAUGUGUGAUAUGUAUGUAAGUUUCUUUUUAAUCAUAUAACCAUGCCAUUCUUAACCACUGGAAUGUAAUUUAUGUUUUAAUAUGCCUAAACUUUCGCUUAUCUUUCUUUUCAGCCACUUUAUUUUUGUUAAUUUCUGUUUUCUUUGUUUGUCAGGAAAUAGCUCAUGAGCUAAUGUUUUUUGUUGUACUGUAUCCGACAAAAAAUAAAGAUUCUUGUAUUUUGUAUCUAAUGCAUAGCUUUAACAUUAUUUUCCACAUACAUGUAAUAGGUUCCCUUCAACAUAAACAGUCAGUCAUUUUGAAUUUCCCAUUAAUGGUGCACUGACUACCCAAAGUUUACAGUUUAUUUGCUCUGGCAGUGUAUCUGUGGGCCUUCGUGGUCAAGUGAUUAAGGUGGUCACUAACUUGACUUGAUCAAAUAUAUUAUAUUAUAUCAUAGAUAUAUGAAAUGCAGUGCAACAUCCUAAAGCUGUACUUGUUAUAGGAUGCGUUUGUACUUGAUGUUGAUCAGUAACAUAUGUAUUUUGUGCCUAACUGUUGUAUCCCUGUGGUGUAGUGAGGUAUGGAUGACAGAUGCUGUGCAUAAGAGUUCACUGAAAUUUGUAGGACUGACCACACAUUACCUUACUAACAUCACAAAAUAUCUAAUGAGAAUUUUCUCAAUACAUCUGUUAUUUUAUCAACAUAUCUCACCUAGUGAAGUUCUGUGUGUUUUAACUUUUUAUGAAAAUGUGUCUGUUUGUUGACAAAUCCCAGUAUAGAAAAUGUCAGAAUUUUCACUGCGCAUUUCUAGAUUUGAAUUUUACAAUUUUAAUUGAAAAGACAGAUUUCUGACUUAUUAAAGGCUCUAUUAAAAUUUGUGCAUGUUUUUAUUCCACGCCAAUAGCUAAAAGAUGGAUUGAAACUGCCUAAUAAAAUUUAGUUCUCUAGGCCUACAGUACAGAUUUAGCAGAUUUGCCUCUGAUAUGGCAGGAUAAGUUCUUCUGUUCAUAUAGCUUCUUUUUUUU